GCCGGUGUGGUGUAGUGGUUUGAGCGCUGGAGUGUGAUUCUGGAGACUAGUGUUCAACUCUCUGCUCAGCCA